rnacentral:rRNA from 1 species
GACGAACGCUGGCGGCGUGCCUAAUACAUGCAAGUAGAACGCUGAAGGAGGAGCUUGCUUCUCUGGAUGAGUUGCGAACGGGUGAGUAACGCGUAGGUAACCUGCCUGGUAGCGGGGGAUAACUAUUGGAAACGAUAGCUAAUACCGCAUAAUAGUAGAUGUUGCAUGACAUUUGCUUAAAAGGUGCAAUUGCAUCACUACCAGAUGGACCUGCGUUGUAUUAGCUAGUUGGUGAGGUAACGGCUCACCAAGGCAACGAUACAUAGCCGACCUGAGAGGGUGACGGGACACAGUGGGAGUGAGACAGGGCCCAGACUCCGGCGGGAGGCGGAAGUAGGGAUUUUUGGGAAAGGGAGGGAAGUCGAACCGAGAAACGCGGGGUGAGUAAAGAGGUUUUGCGGUGGAAAAAGCUUGGUUGAAAGAAAAAAACGAGGGGGGGGGUGAAAAGUCCACGCGGGGGGGUUAUUUAACAAGAAGGGGAGGGCAACUUCGGUC